CCCCCUUCUUCCGGCAGUGGAGGGGUGCUUAAGCGUCUGUUACACCUCAGUAGACAGGGGGUGGGCGGGCCUCAGACUCUGCUCUGUCUCAAACCUGUUAUCACUUCAGCAUUCAAGUUCUAUCAGUUAAAGCAACUAAUCAGAGGUCACGUAACUAGCCCAAGGUCACAUAACUGGGAAGUGACAGAUUUGCUGUUUCAUUCAAGACUAUUUGACUCCAGAGGAUUCACUGUUGCCUACUACACUGUAAAAGAAGAGGAGAAUAAAAGAGUCGGAACUCUGGCUCCAGUCAUGGUGGUGCGACCUUGGCUAAGCUACUGAACCUGCUUGUGUUUCAGUUUCAAAGGCUGUGAAAUAUGGAAAAGAAUAACGAGACCUGCUGCGCAGGUUGUUAGAAGACCUAAUAGGUGGAGAACAGCUAAUCGUGCAGAUUCCUGGGCACAGAUGGCCCACCCUCACUGGGAACCAGCAGUUCAGGACCUCCGACUUCCAGCAGGACUCCCCAUCAUAUGAGUGCACUGUAGAUAGCCUAAGUGGCUCAUACUCUGCAAGACAUCUUUACAGUCUCCAAAAGAUACACUUGAGAAAAGCAAGAAAUCUUAAUGCUAAAGGCUGGUUCCUUACCAUCUGAGCUACCAGGGAAGCUGAAGCUGUAAGCGAGGGCCAUGAUGGGUGUAUUCUAGGUCUGAGGUUACACCCCAAUAGAAGGGGUUAACUGGCUUCCAGGGGAACCAACAGGAGAUUCCCUACUGCUUGGAGUCCUGUGCAGGACAGAGAACAUUCCAGCUUGGCCCUCUGCCCCAUCCUUCCCGGUUCCCGAAGGAUCCAUUCCUAAGCUUCUCCUUCUCCAGCAUCUCAAGUUUCACACUUUCCACUGGCUUCUUCCUCUUGAGUCAUAAGACCAAGAUUUAAAGAGCUUGCCCUUUAGGAGGAGAGAAGUGACUUGUAAAUACAAGAUUGUCUUAAGUGCCACUGAAGGUGAGCAAAUGGGCUUGGCAGCACCAGCGCUAAAGAAUCGGCUGCCAGUGAAGGAGAUGUAAGAGAUGCAGAUUCAAUCCCUUGGUCAGGAAGAUCUCCUGGAGUAGGAAAUGGAAACCCACUCCAGUAUUCUUGCCCGGAGAAUCCCAUGGACAGAGGAGCCUGGAGGGCUACAGUGCACUGGGUCUCAAAGAGCCGGACAUGACUGAAGCAACAUAGCACGCACGCAUAAAGGUGAGCAAAGACAAAAGGGACCAUGAGACUCUGGAAGAGAGACAUAAGUCUUGCUUUGGAAUAUUCGAGAUGGUGUGGUAUGGACCCAUUCCCACGGGUCAGUUCUAGGAUAUGGGUAUAGGUUUUCCACUGGCAGUGGUGGGCUGAGGUCACCAAGAAAAUAUUCUGCCCUCUUCUUUACUUUGCAAGUUGGGUCUCUGGAACUUAGACCGAGGAAGGGAAAUAAAUCUGAACCCUAGAGAUGGGCUAGUUGUCUCUGUCAUCUGUUUCAAAAUAGGACAGAAUUACAACCAGCUGGUCGUGACUUUCCAUCCUGACCUCUGCAGGAGGGAGUGCGAAUCCACUAGAAAAUCCACUGCUUGUUCAGGGCACCAGCCUGCAUCUCCCUCUUGGGGUGACAUGGUCGCUGUGGGGCUUUCUGCUUUUAUUUUUAAUUUUGUUAGUAACCGCAAGCCUCACUGUUCCGGUAUUUUGAAUACAACGUUUUGUAAGUUGAAAAUAGAAGGAGAGGACAGAAUGUGCAACAUUUUCUAGUUCAUUGUUCCAUGUCCAUAAAAAAAAAAAAAAAAAAACAACUCCAAAAAGGAAAAUUCUAUGCUCUCCAAGGUGGCAGCUUUAAUGGCACUGUUCUCUCUGUAAUUUACAGUGAAGGGUAAAAAAUGAAGCUCCUUUAGGCCUCUUAUAUUGACACACACCAGGGCAGCCUUGCCCAUCCUCACCACUGCUGACAUUCCAACAGUUCACAGCUCUUAGAUACGAUGGACCACCACCGUGUGCUGGCCGCCACCUGCUGUGGGCCGAGUGGUUCGCCACAUCCCCACACUUCAAAAAAGACACGUUGAGCUGCUAACCCCCAGUAGCUGGGGACAUGAUUUUACUCAGAAAUAGGGUCUUUGCAGAUUUCAUCAAGUCCAGAAGAGGCUGUCCAGAGUGGGCCCUGAUCUAAUAGGAAGAUGGCCUUUUGAUACCACAGAGACACAGGGAAAAGCCACGUGGAGAUGAAGGCAGAGACUGGAGCCAAGCACCUACAAGUGGAGGACACCAAGAACAGCUGAGGUCACUGGGGGCUAGGAGACAGGCCUGGAGCAGACUCUCCCCUAGGGCCCCCAGAGGGAAUCAAUGCUGCUGAUGCUCUGAUUUUGGACUCCUGGCCUCCAGAACUCUGAGAAUAAUUUUCUUUUAUUUUAAGUCACUCAGUUUGUGGUCCUUUGUAACAGCCACUCUCCAGGACAUAAUACGCCAUCUCAACUGAGAACUGUCCACAAAAGAAUUUUGUGUAAUGUUACAUAUAAAAUUUAACAAAAACACUGAA